rnacentral:rRNA from 1 species
CCUACGGGAGGCAGCAGUGAGGAAUAUUGGUCAAUGGUCGGGAGACUGAACCAGCCAAGCCGCGUGAGGGAUGAAGGUACAGAGUAUCGUAAACCUCUUUUGUCAGGGAACAAAGGCGGGGACGUGUCCCCGGAUGAGUGUACCUGAAGAAAAAGCAUCGGCUAACUCCGUGCCAGCAGCCGCGGUAAUACGGAGGAUGCGAGCGUUAUCCGGAUUUAUUGGGUUUAAUGGGUGCGCAGGCGGUCUGUUAAGUCAGCGGUAAAAGCCCGGGGCCAAACCCCGGCCUGCCGUUGAAACUGGCAGUCUCGAGUUGGAGAGAGGUAUGCGGAAUGCGCGGUGUAGCGGUGAAAUGCAUAGAUAUCGCGCAGAACUCCGAUUGCGAAGGCAGCAUGCCGGCUCCACACUGACGCUGAGGCACGAAAGCGUGGGUAUCGAACAGGAUUAGAUACCCGAGUAGUC